AGAGGUUGAUCCUGCCUCAGGAUGAACGCUGGCGGCAUGCCUAACACAUGCAAGUCUACUCGACGAAAAAAGUUUCUUCGGAAACUUUUGGAGUUGGGUGGCGGACGGGUGAGUAACACGUGAAUAACCUGCCCUCAAGACUGGAAUAACUUCUCGAAAGGGAAGCUAAUACCGGAUGGUCUUAUUUUCUUAAUUAGAUUUUAAGUAAAGCUAUAUGCGCUUGAGGAGGGGUUCGCGGCCCAUUAGCUAGUUGGUAAGGUAAAAGCUUACCAAGGCGACGAUGGGUAGCCGGCCUGAGAGGGUGAACGGCCACAAUGGAACUGAGAACGGUCCUUACUCCUACGGGAGGCAGCAGUGAGGAAUAUUGCGCAAUGGGCGAAAGCCUGACGCAGCAAUGCCGCGUGGAUGAAGAAGGCCUUCGGGUUGUAAAGUCCUUUUAGUGGGGAAGAAAAAAAUGACUGUACCCACAGAAAAAGCCACGGCUAACUACGUGCCAGCAGCCGCGGUAAGACGUAGGUGGCAAGCGUUAUCCGGAAUUAUUGGGCGUAAAGGGCGUGUAGGUGGCGGAGUAAGUCAUAAGUUAAAUUACUGGGCUCAACCCAGAUACUGCUUUUGAAACUGCUUUGCUAGAGUUCGGGAGAAGAAGGUGGAAUUAUCAGAGUAGCGGUGGAAUGCGUAGAUACUGAUAGGAAGGCCAAAGACGAAGGUAGCCUUCUGGACCGACACUGACACUGAGGAGCGAAAGCUAGGGGAGCAAACAGGAUUAGAUACCCUGGUAGUCCUAGCUGUAAACGAUGGAUACUGGAUGUGGGAUAUCAUAUAUUCCGUGUCGAAGCUAACGCGUUAAGUAUCCCGCCUGGGGAGUACGAUCGCAAGAUUGAAACUUAAAGGAAUUGACGGGGACCCGCACAAGCGGUGGAGCAUGUGGUUUAA
rnacentral:rRNA from 1 species